AAAGUAUAUAAAUAUUAUGAAAGCAAAAAAUUAUGGCGGUAUCUUAAGCUUUUCAGAGGAAUUUGCUCUAUAAUGGAUAAAACACCUUAAUCUUACUUUAAUUAGUAAAAAAACAGUUUGUAUACCACUAUUAAAAUAAUAAUAUACAAUUAUUAUUAAAGUGUAUUAUUUAUGUAUUUAAAUAAAGUUAAGUCAAGGUGCAGCAAAAAUUAAAGUAUGAAGUGAAUUACAUUGCUUUUUAGAUGAAAAAAUGAAAAUAAGUUUAGGAUUUGAAAGUAAAAUUAAAAUAGGAAGUUAAUUUGAAUUAAGCUCUAGGAUAUGUACAUAUCGCCCGUCACUCU
rnacentral:rRNA from 1 species